GACGAACGCUGGCGGCGUGCCUAAUACAUGCAAGUGGGACGCAAGGAAACACACUGUGCUUGCACACCGUGUUUUCUUGAGUCGCGAACGGGUGAGUAACGCGUAGGUAACCUGCCUAUUAGCGGGGGAUAACUAUUGGAAACGAUAGCUAAUACCGCAUAAUAUUAAUUAUUGCAUGAUAAUUGAUUGAAAGAUGCAAGCGCAUCACUAGUAGAUGGACCUGCGUUGUAUUAGCUAGUUGGUAAAGUAAGAGCUUACCAAGGCGACGAUACAUAGCCGACCUGAGAGGGUGAUCGGCCACACUGGGACUGAGACACGGCCCAGACUCCUACGGGAGGCAGCAGUAGGGAAUCUUCGGCAAUGGACGAAAGUCUGACCGAGCAACGCCGCGUGAGUGAAGAAGGGUUUCGGAUCGUAAAGCUCUGUUGUAAGUCAAGAACGUGUGUGAGAGUGGAAAGUUCACACAGUGACGGUAGCUUACCAGAAAGGGACGGCUAACUACGUG
rnacentral:rRNA from 1 species